rfam:Selaginella moellendorffii unplaced genomic scaffold SELMOscaffold_512, whole genome shotgun sequence.
CGACCUCAGGUCAGGCAAGACAACCCGCUGAGUUUAAGCAUAUCACUAAGCGGAGGAAAAGAAACUAACAAGGAUUUCCCUAGUAGCGGCGAGCGAAACGGAAAGAGCCCAGCUUGGAAAUCGGGGUGUCUCUGCACCCCGAAUUGUAGUCUGGAGAAGGGUCCUCUGCAGCGGACCGGGUUUAAGUCCCUUGGAACGGGACGCCAGAGAGGGUGAGAGCCCCGUCUAGCCCGGACCCUGCUGCAUCACGAGGCUCUUUCGGCGAGUCGGGCUGUUUGGGAAUGCAGCCUUAAGUGGGUGGUAAAUUCCAUCCAAGGCUAAAUACUGGUGAGAGACCGAUAGCGCACAAGUACCGCGAGGGAAAGAUGAAAAGGACUUUGAAAAGAGAGUUAAAAAGUGCUUGAAAUUGCUGGGAGGGAAGCGAAUGGAUGCCUUGUGCGCCCCUUGGUUGUGUGUGGAACGGCGAGAGCUGGUCUGCCAAGCAAUGCAAGGGGCUGUCCAGCAUGGGAGGACGCGGCGGGAUAACGGCUUGUGAGCCUCUGGCUCCCUGCCAAUGCCGCCGCUGCCUCUGAAAAUGGCGGGGUGCUCCGGUGCCCCGCCAGAUGCUGGAACUUGGGCGUUCCAUCCGACCCGUCUUGAAACACGGACCAAGGAGUCUAACAUGUAUGCGAGUCUGUGGGUGCUAAACCCGUACAGGCGAAAGGAAACUAAUUCGUGGGAUCCCCUUCGGGGGUGCACCACGGACCGACCUUGAUCUUUUGAGAAGGGUUUGAGUGUUAGCAUACCUGCUGGGACCCGAAAGAUGGUGAACUAUGCCUGAGCAGGGCGAAGCCAGAGGAAACUCUGGUGGAGGCUCGUAGCGAUACUGACGUGCAAAUCGUUCGUCAGACUUGGGUAUAGGGGCGAAAGACUAAUCGAACCAUCUAGUAGCUGGUACCCUCCGAAGUUUCCCUCAGGAUAGCUGGAGCUCUUGCUGAGUUUUAUCGGGUAAAGCGAAUGAUUAGAGGCAUCGGGGGUGAAACACCCUCGACCUAUUCUCAAACUUUAAAUAGGUAAAGCAGCCGGGGUUGCUCUGUUGAGCCCCGGCCGUGAAUGCGAGCUCCAAGUGGGCCAUUUUUGGUAAGCAGAACUGGCGAUGCGGGAUGAACCGAAAGCCGGGCUACGGUGCCAAAGUGCGCGCUAACCCAGAUCCCACAAAGGGUGUUGAUUGAUUAAGACAGCAGGACGGUGGUCAUGGAAGUCGAAAUCCGCUAAGGAGUGUGUAACAACUCACCUGCCGAAUCAACUAGCCCCGAAAAUGGAUGGCGCUUAAGCGCGCGGCCUAUGCCCGGCCAUCGCGGCGAUUGCGAGGCCCCGAUGAGUAGGAGGGCGUGGGGGUCGUGGUGCAGCUCUGGGCGCGAGCCCGAGUGAAACGGCCCCCAGUGCAGAUCUUGGUGGUAGUAGCAAGUAUUCAAAUGAGAACUUUGAAGACUGAAGUGGAGAAAGGUUCCAUGUGAACAGCAAUUGGACAUGGGUUAGUCGAUCCUAAGAGAUGGGGAAAUCCUGUGUGAAGGGCGCAAUGCGCGCCGCCCAUCGAAAGGGAAUCGGGUUAAUAUUCCCGAACUGGGACAAGGCAGUGGGCGGUAACGCCGACGAAUCCAGAGACACUGGCGGGGGCCCCGGGAAGAGUUAUCUUUUCUUUUUAACGGCCUGCCGACCCUGAAAUCGGUUCAACCGGAGAUAGGGUCUCACGGCCGGCAGAGCACCGCACGUCCUGCGGUGUCCGGUGCGCCCCCGGCGGUCCUUGAAAAUCUGGAGGAGCGAGUGCUGAGCUUGCCCGGUCGUACUCAUAACCGCAUCAGGUCUCCAAGGUGAGCAGCCUCUAGUCGAUGGAACAAUGUAGGUAAGGGAAGUCGGCAAAAUGGAUCCGUAACUUCGGGAAAAGGAUUGGCUCUGAGGGUUGGGCUUAGGGGUCUGCGGCUUGACCCUGUAGGCUGCUGGCGGUCUGCCCGAGCUGCUUGCGCGGCGAGGGCGGGCCCCGGCGUGCCGACCUGGUGACGGACGCAGAACGCCCCUCCCCGCGGGGGGCAUUCCCUAGGCAUCGAACAACCGACUCAGAACUGGAACGGACAAGGGGAAUCCGACUGUUUAAUUAAAACAAAGCAUUGCGUGCUUCGACCGCUCGUUAGUUUACCAACAUCAGCUGCCUGCCGUCUUCCCUUCCUUUCCCCUUUUUUU